UACGGAGGAUCCAAGCGUUAUCCGGAAUCAUUGGGUUUAAAGGGUCCGUAGGCGGUCUUGUAAGUCAGUGGUGAAAGCCCAUCGCUCAACGGUGGAACGGCCAUUGAUACUGCUGGACUUGAAUUAUUAGGAAGUAACUAGAAUAUGUAGUGUAGCGGUGAAAUGCUUAGAGAUUACAUGGAAUACCAAUUGCGAAGGCAGGUUACUACUAAUGGAUUGACGCUGAUGGACGAAAGCGUGGGGAGCGAACAGG
rnacentral:rRNA from 1 species